UCCUCGCGUCCGCCUCCCCCUCCCGCCGGCCGCCACCUUCCCCGCUGGAAUGGCAGCGGACACCUCGCCGGCAACGUGCGCACGAGCCUCUGCGUCCGGCCUCCGCACGGGCCGCCUCGCCGUCCGCGCCGCCGCCCUCCCGGCGGACGGGCGCGGCGGUGAUGGCGCUGCCUCCUAUAAGAAACUUGGUCUGUACUCCUUGAAAAAGAGGAUUGAAGAUGCAGUUGUGCGGGUUGAAACGACUGCUUCCAGUGCUUUGGAGUUGGAGGAAGCACAGAGAAUUAAACAGGAAGAAGUAUUGCGGAAGCGUAACUUGUGGGAUAAUCCAGCUAAGUCACAUGAGACGCUCUCUGCUCUGGCAGAUGCUAUCAGGGUGGUUGACCAUCUAAAAGAUCUUCGCUUCAAGGCUGAAGAGGCGAAGUUGAUUAGUCAACUAUCAGAGAUGGAUGCCAUAAAUGGUGAGCUAUUUAAGCAAGCAUACAAAUCAUCAGUAGAUGCUAGCGAGUAUCUAGAUCGCUACCAGAUGUACAAGCUUCUUAAGGGUCCAUAUGACAAGGAGGGAGCAUGCAUUAUUGUUACUGCAGUAUCUAACGGUGUUACUUCUGAGCUGUGGGCAGAGAAGGUCUUUGGCAUGUAUACAAGUUGGGCACGGAAACAAGGUUACAAGGUUGGAUUGAUUGAGAAGAUAUUUUCAACGAGUGGCCAUAUCCAAUCUGCAGCAAUGGAGAUUGAAUCAGAGUACAUGUUUGGCACCCUUUCUGGAGAAAAAGGAAUGCAUCAAAUGAUAUACUCCUCCCUUGAAAAUUCUGACAUUGAUCAGCUUGCAGGCCUUAUCAGCUAGAGUCGACAUAAUUCCCCUGUUCUUGGAUAGACCAGUUGAUCUUCACUUGGAUGACGGUGAUAUAGAGACCUCUCCCUCACCUUCUGUACAUAAGAAGCGAGGCAGAAGAAACGGAGCUGCUGUUAGGGUUCAACACGUACCAAGUGGAGUCACUGCUGAAAGUUCAGGUGAGAGAAGCUACUUUGCAAACAAGCUAAAAGCCACAAGUAGGUUGAAAGCAAAGCUCCUUCUAGUAGCUAGAGAAUUGAGAGUAUCGGACGUAAAACUGAUCAACAGACAAGCAAUAGAGGAUAAGUGCAACUCUGAAACACGAAGAUACACAUUUGGACCUCAUAAAUUGGUCCAUGAUCUCAAUACAGGUAUCCAGUUGUCAGAUUUGAACUCAGUCCUGGAAGGCGACAUCGAACCAUUCAUCAGAGGCCGUGUUACUUCCAGACAAUUGUGAUGCACACAGCUCUCACCAACUGAUUGAUCUGUUCGCUCAUUGUGAUUCUGUACAUUUAUUUCCUUUCUUCUACAGACCACACCACAUCAUAAGAUAACCUCUGUAAAUAUUUCAUAUUUCAAGCCAAAAAGGUAUACAAAACAUCAAUCUGUUGCACUAUUUUCA